GAUGAACGUUGGCGGCGUGCCUAAUACAUGCAAGUCGAGCGAACAGACGAGGAGCUUGCUCCUCUGACGUUAGCGGCGGACGGGUGAGUAACACGUGGAUAACCUACCUAUAAGACUGGGAUAACUUCGGGAAACCGGAGCUAAUACCGGAUAAUAUAUUGAACCGCAUGGUUCAAUAGUGAAAGACGGUUUUGCUGUCACUUAUAGAUGGAUCCGCGCCGCAUUAGCUAGUUGGUAAGGUAACGGCUUACCAAGGCAACGAUGCGUAGCCGACCUGAGAGGGUGAUCGGCCCCACUGGAACUGAGACACGGUCCAGACUCCUACGGGAGGCAGCAGUAGGGAAUCUUCCGCAAUGGGCGAAAGCCUGACGGAGCAACGCCGCGUGAGUGAUGAAGGUCUUCGGAUCGUAAAACUCUGUUAUUAGGGAAGAACAAAUGUGUAAGUAACUAUGCACGUCUUGACGGUACCUAAUCAGAAAGCCACGGCUAACUACGUG
rnacentral:rRNA from 1 species